AUGGAUUCGAGGCUGCGAAAGGUAGACGCCCCCGCCGUGCCGGCCGACGGCGCCGCUGCGCUGGCCACCGCGAAGGGUGAGGUCGAAGUCACCAAGCCCCGCAACGACAGGCGCGGGUACCGCCGCGUGGUGCUCCCGAACGCCCUCGAGUGCCUCCUCAUCAGCGACCCCGACACCGACAAGGCGGCGGCGUCGAUGAAUGUCUCGGUGGGGUACUUCUGCGAUCCCGAUGGGAUGGAGGGGCUCGCGCACUUCCUCGAGCAUAUGCUUUUCUACGCGAGUGAAAAAUAUCCAAUAGAAGACAGUUACUCAAAGUACAUUUCUGAGCAUGGUGGUUCGACAAAUGCCUUUACAGCCUCUGAACACACAAACUUCUAUUUUGAUGUGAACAAUGACAGCCUGGAUGAUGCUUUAGAUAGGUUCGCACAAUUUUUUAUAAAGCCAUUGAUGUCCCCUGAUGCAACCCUUAGGGAAAUAAAAGCUGUUGACUCUGAAAACCAGAAAAAUCUAUUGUCAGAUCCAUGGCGAAUGAGUCAGCUCCAGAAGCAUCUUUGCUCGAAUAACCACCCAUAUCACAAGUUCAGCACUGGAAAUUGGGACACACUGGAGGUUAAACCAAAGGAGAAAGGAUUGGACACGAGGGCUGAGCUUAUUAAUUUCUAUGAUUCACACUACUCAGCCAACUUGAUGCAGCUUGCUGUGUAUGGAAAAGAGAGUCUUGACAACAUUCAAACCCUUGUCGAAAGUAAGUUCUGUGAUAUCAAGAACGUUGGGAGGAAGCACUUUUCUUUUCCUGGUCAUCCAUGUUCAAGCAAAGACCUCCAGAUCCUUGUUAAAGCGGUUCCUAUAAAACAAGGUCAUAAUUUGCGAAUACUGUGGCCAAUCACUCCAAAUGUUAGGCAUUACAAGGAAGGUCCUUGUAAGUAUGUGAGCCAUCUAAUCGGUCAUGAAGGAGAAGGAUCUCUCUUUUACGUACUAAAAAAGUUGGGAUGGGCUAUGAGUUUGGAAGCAGGGGAAGGGGAUUGGAGUUAUGAGUUCUCUUUCUUCAGUGUCAUUAUACAGCUCACAGAUGUAGGCCAUGAGCACAUGGAGGAUGUCGUUGGGUUGCUGUUCAGAUACAUUACAUUGCUUCAGACCUCUGGAACUCCAAAGUGGAUUUUUGAUGAGCUUCUAGCCAUCUGCGAGACGGGAUUCCACUAUCGAGACAAGAGCCCUCCUAGCAAUUAUGUUGUCAAUAUUUCCUCAAACAUGCAGAUUUUUCCACCAGAAGAUUGGCUGAUCGCGUCGUCUGUACCAUCAAAGUUUUCACCAGAUGCUAUUCAGAAGGUGCUAAAUGAAUUGACUACAGAGAAUGUUAGAAUAUUCUGGGAGUCAAAAUUAUUUGAAGGGCAUACAGACUUAACAGAACCUUGGUAUGGUACGUCAUAUUGUGUUGAAGCAGUGCCUCCUUCCAUUAUGCAGAAAUGGGUAGAAAAUGCUCCCAACGAAGAUUUACACCUGCCAAAACCUAAUAUCUUCAUUCCAACUGAUCUUUCAUUGAAAAAUGUUGAGGAAAAGACAAGUUUUCCUUGCAUGCUGAGGAAAACACUGUUUUCCAGAUUGUGGUACAAGCCCGAUACAAUGUUCUUCACACCCAAGGUCUUCAUCAAGAUGGAUUUCCACUGUCCUCUGUCCAAUAGCUCCCCUGAAUCAUCAGUUCUUACUGACGUAUUCACUAGGUUGCUGAUGGAUUAUUUGAAUGAUUAUGCUUAUGAUGCUGAAGUUGCUGGUCUUUAUUAUGCUGUUAGGCCGAACGACACCGGUUUUCAGGUUACUAUGGUUGGCUAUAAUGACAAAAUGAGAACCCUUCUGGACACUGUUAUUGGCAAAAUUGCAGACUUUGAAGUUAAGAUUGACCGCUUUUCUGUGAUAAAGGAAACUAUGACGAAGGGAUAUGAGAAUUUUAAAUUUCGGCAGCCAUAUCAGCAAGCAAUGUACAAUUGCACAUUGAUAUUGGAGGAGCAAACUUGGCCUUGGGAUGAAGAACUUGCUGCACUUUCUAAUCUUGAAGCUCGCAAUUUAGAGGAUUUCUUGCCUCGUAUGCUGGCAAAGACAUUUAUAGAGUGCUAUUUUGCAGGGAAUAUUGAACCAAGCGAAGCGGAAAGUGUUGUCCAGCAUAUUGAAGGCAUAUUGUUUAAUUCAUCCACAAGUGUUUGCAAAUCAUUACCACCAUCACAGCAUCUUACAAAGCGAAUUGUUAAGCUUGAAAGGGGUUUGAGGUAUUAUUAUCCAGCAAUGUGCUUGAAUCAGCAGGAUGAAAAUUCUUCCCUUCUGCAUUAUAUUCAGAUUCAUCAGGACGAUCUCAAACAAAAUGUCCUACUUCAGUUGCUUGCUGUUGUAGCUAAGCAACCGGCUUUUCACCAAUUACGUUCGGUCGAGCAACUUGGGUACAUAGCACUGCUUAGACAGAGAAAUGAUUCAGGAGUCCGUGGGUUGCAAUUUAUAAUCCAGUCAACCGUGAAGGAUCCAUCCAAUCUGGAUGCAAGGGUUGAAGCUUUCCUGAAGAUGUUUGAAGUCACACUACACGAAAUGCCUGAUGCAGAAUUCAAGAGUAAUGUCAAUGCUCUCAUUGACAUGAAACGGGAGAAAUACAAGAACAUAAGGGAGGAAUCAGCAUUCUUUUGGGGGGAGAUUUCUCAAGGAACACUGAAAUUUGAUAGAAAGGAAACAGAGAUUGCUGCACUGGAGGAGCUUAAGAAGGAAGAGCUGAUAGAGUUCUUUGAUAAUCAUGUCAAGGUUGGCGCACCAGAAAAGAAGAUCCUUAGCAUUCAAAUCUAUGGCGGUCUCCAUUCCUCCGAAUACGAAAAGAUUAUUCAUGAUGCUCCGCCACCGCAUUCGCAUCGAAUAACUGAUAUAUUCAGCUUCAGGAGGUCGAGACCUUUAUAUGGUUCAUUCAGAGGUGGUGCUGGUCAGAUGAAGCUAUAG
rnacentral:rRNA from 1 species